UGCUUCUGGAAUCCUGCUUCUCUCUCUCUCUCUCUCCGCGGCUCGGCUCCCCUCCCCCUCUUCCUCCUCCUCUUCCUCGUCUCUCGCCGCUAGCGCUCCAGAAACAGCAUCUCAGUCGCCACGCACGAGUGUCAAACGUUCAGCGGUGCAUUUCCUGAGGGCUCUUCUUCUGAUAAAAUCACAACGAAGCCGGGAGGAGCUCUGCAUGUGAAUAUGAAUACGAGUGUUUGUCAAUGAAGCUGCGCUGAUGUCAUCCUUUGUCCGUGACAGCAGCAGAGACGGAGCUCAAUGAAGGGAUGCUGUGUGAUGCAGCGGCCGCCUGACUCCGCCUCCACCGCACCAUUGGCUCAGAGGAUCACAAGGCUCCUCCCACUGCUCUCCAGUAAAAGCUCAGUGGGAGAUCAGUGUUACAGGAUAUAUGUUGAUGACUCUGUAUGAUGCGAUGCUCUCAGAGCUGUUUGUUUGAACACCUGUGACAUCACUGACCCUGAACACAAGAUUCAUCCCUGUGUGAGUUUUAAAUUAGUAAAUUAGUGUUACUCAUUUUUUGAUUAGUAAUAUGCAUUGCUAAGAACUUCAUUUGAACAACUUUAAAGAUGAUUUUCUCAAUAUUUAGAUUUUUUUGCUCCCUCAGAUUCCAGAUUUUCAAAUAGUUGUAUCUCAGACAAAUAUUGUCCUCCUAACAAACCACACAUCAAUGGAGAGAUUAUUUAUUCAGCUUUGUAUAAAUCUCAAUUUCACCCUGUACUCUUAUGACUGGUUUAGUGGUAUUUUAAUAUUUUACAAUCAAAAUAAUAUAUAAUUAUUUCACGUCAGUUUUUUUACACUGACUCAUAUUCUCAUCUUUAGACCACGUCUGCAAAACUACAAGCUCGUUAACAUGCUUUAAACUCGGUUUGAUAUUGUAAAACAAACUUUUUGCAAAACUAAUUUCUCUGAAUUAUACACAUAAUUCAAGACGAACAGCUCUUUGUUUUAUUUGUGAAACUGUUGUUUAAACUCCACACACACACACUGAUGAGCUACACACACUGAUCCUGAGGAAACACUCACAUCAUGUUCACUUAGUAACCAAAACACAGCGUGUUCUGAGAAAGAGAUUCAUUUUACCCCCUGCAUUUCUGUUUACAGUCUGCAUAUAUAUAUAUAUUAUUAAAUAUUAUUUAACAUUUACAUUACAUUUAUGCAUUUACUAGACGCUUUUAUCCAAAGUGACUUACAAAAGAAAAACAAAGCAAUCUGUCAAAGAGCCAACAAUAUUGUAAUACACAAUAUUAUAUAUUAUGACAUGAAUUAAAAUGCAGAUUCAUUCUUAGCCACUAGGUGUCACUUUAGGAGGGAAAAUAGCUGUUUCCCUGGUAACACACCCUGCUCCAUUCGGAAGGGCUCAUCCCUAUGCCCUGAUCCCUUCACAGGGUUUACCCUCUGAGUGAGAGCU
ensembl:lncRNA